UCCCCCCAGAAGUACCAAGGCACAAAAGUAGGAAGGACAAAACACAUCAGCACUACUGAACUCUUAUAGUACCUGUGAAGAAAGGAGAAGGGUCACCAGGUAACACCACACAAGACAUCGUUGCCUACGUUGCUGAAAUCCAAGUUACUUCUAAAUGGAUUUGAGAUUCCAAAGAAAACAGCAGAAUGGUUUAGAAUAUUAGCAAUGAUAUGGGCUCCAGAGCAGGUUGUAUCAGUUUUCUCUCUUCCAUGUUAUCCUCACAACAUCCCUAUGAAGUCAAUUAGGCAGAGAGUGUGUGACUGUCUCCGAGAGUCACCUGGCAAGCUUCCAUGGCAGAGUGAGGGAUUCGAACCUGGAUUUACCCUGAUCCUAGUCCACCACUUCAGCCACGACGCCACGCUGGAUUCCUACAUACAAGCUCCCUUUUAUCAUACGAUACCCCAAACUGGAUGGCCCA